rnacentral:rRNA from 1 species
UACGUAGGGUGCAAGCGUUGUCCGGAAUUAUUGGGCGUAAAGAGCUCGUAGGCGGUCUGUCGCGUCGGAUGUGAAAACCCAGGGCUCAACCCUGGGCCUGCAUUCGAUACGGGCAGACUAGAGUUCGGUAGGGGAGACUGGAAUUCCUGGUGUAGCGGUGAAAUGCGCAGAUAUCAGGAGGGACACCGGUGGCGAAGGCGGGUCUCUGGGCCGAAACUGACGCUGAGGAGCGAAAGCGUGGGGAGCAAACAGG